GAUGAUGAUGAUGAUGUUGAAAAGAAUGAGUGGAACUCUCAAGAAUUGGCAUGCAUGGAUGAACCCUAUUACCUGCCCUUUGAGCGUGCUUCUUCUUUCUCUCGACAUCUCUGCUAAUGUCCAUCCUCUCCGAGCAAGAAAACGAUCCUCGUUCAGAAUUGCAAAGGCAUUUGCAAACAGUAGAAGCCCUUCUAAGAAGGUCCAGAAAC
rnacentral:misc_RNA from 1 species